rnacentral:rRNA from 1 species
ACACGACCGUACCGCAAACCGACACUGGUGCGCGAGAUGAGUAUUCUAAGGCGCUUGAGAGAACUCAGGAGAAGGAACUCGGCAAAUUGACACCGUAACUUCGGAAGAAGGUGUGCCUUUAGUAGGUGAACCAUUUACUUGGGGAGCCCAAUGAGGCUGCAAAAAAUCGGUGGCUGCAACUGUUUAUUAAAAACACAGCACUCUGCUAAGACGAAAGUCGACGUAUAGGGUGUGACGCCUGCCCGGUGCUGGAAGAUUAAAUGAUGGGGUGCAAGCUCUUGAUUGAAGUCCCAGUAAACGGCGGCCGUAACAAUAACGGUCCUAAGGUAGCGAAAUUCCUUGUCGGGUAAGUUCCGACCUGCACGAAUGGCGUAAUGAUGGCCACACUGUCUCCUCCUGAGACUCAGCGAAGUUGAAAUGUUUGUGAUGCUGCAAUCUCCCCGCGGAAAGACGGAAAGACCCCAUGAACCUUUACUGUAGCUUUGUAUUGGACUUUGAACAGAUCUGUGUAGGAUAGGUGGGAGGCUUUGAAGUGUGGUCGCUAGAUCGCAUGGAGCCAACGUUGAAAUACCACCCUGGUGUGUUUGAGGUUCUAACCUAGGUCCAUUAUCUGGAUCGGGGACAGUGCAUGGUAGGCAGUUUGACUGGGGCGGUCUCCUCCCAAAGUGUAACGGAGGAGUUCGAAGGUACGCUAGGUACGGUCGGACAUCGUGCUAAUAGUGCAAUGGCAUAAGCGUGCUUAACUGCGAGACUGACAAGUCGAGCAGAUGCGAAAGCAGGACAUAGUGAUCCGGUGGUUCUGUAUGGAAGGGCCAUCGCUCAACGGAUAAAAGGUACUCUGGGGAUAACAGGCUGAUACCGCCCAAGAGUUCAUAUCGACGGCGGUGUUUGGCACCUCGAUGUCGGCUCAUCUCAUCCUGGGGCUGUAGCCGGUCCCAAGGGUAUGGCUGUUCGCCAUUUAAAGAGGUACGUGAGCUGGGUUUAAAACGUCGUGAGACAGUUUGGUCCCUAUCUUCCGUGGGCGCUGCAGAUUUGAGGAAGCCUGCUCCUAGUACGAGAGGACCGGAGUGGACGAACCUCUGGUGUAUCGGUUGUCACGCCAGUGGCAUUGCCGAGUAGCUAAGUUCGGAAGAGAUAACCGCUGAAAGCAUCUAAGCGGGAAACUCGUUUCAAGAUUAGAUCUGCCGGGGCCUUGAGCCCCCUAAAGAGUCGUUCAAGACCAGGACGUUGAUAGGUCAGGUGUGGAAGCAA